CCCCCAGGGGUCGCACGCGGGGCUCCACCGAGAACCGGGCAAUACGGUGUCCUCGAAACUACGCGGGGCCGCGCGUGCGCGGCGCCAGCGCGUUUUGGGCGGACAAGGGGCCGUGAUGCGCACGAGGGCCCCACAGAAAUCCGGUCGGGUCGUCCCCGCGCCGGGACCCGUGACCCCGGCGAGAGCUGGACCCGCCGGCCGUGCACCGGAAGGAGCCGCGCCGGGUGACCCGAGGCCGCAGCGCGGCGGAGUGGUUCACGGCGCGCCGCUGCUUGCCCUGGGGUGCUCAGGCCCGGCGUCCCGUGCUUGAAGCCAAGGGCUAGGGGCAGAGCGUGCUCUUGGGGCCAACGCUUUCCAUAGUGUGACUCGCUCGAGGUUAGAAAACAAGCUCCAGUGGGUUAAUCAAGCCCGAAUUAUCCUGCCAGUCGUGAAAGAAGUUGGGAUUUGGAGGCAAGUCUGGUUUCAGAAAUCGAUCUUUUCCUCUUCACAGUGGAACUCGAGCGAGGAAAGAUUUGGGAUCAGGAGUGCGGCCUCCCCUUUCUUUUGGACAAUGCUCCCAAGGCCUUAUCAGCCCAGACUUUCCUUCCUGCCCUAGUUCCCUAGCCACACAACAGGCAUCUGUGACGUCAGCGCCGGGGCUGCCGGGCCAACAAGAAGUGAUUUGUGUUGCUGUGGCCGUUCGGUUCCAGGAAGGGAGCCGAGCAAACUCGGAAGGGCAUUCUCAGGGCUGAGAGGGACUAGAAGGGGGAAACGUGGGGUUUAGACAGUGACUGGGGAAUAGAGGUGGGCAGGAGGGGAGGGGACGUGCGAACCGUCAACUCGAUAUGGAUGCAGCCUUGAGAGGACUCGACAGACAGGGCCAGGCAGAGGAAGACCUGAGAGCUACCUGAGUCAGUGUCACCCAUGUGGGCCAGUCAUUCAGCAGGAGAGGCCACUGUGGAGGUGGUCGGUGCUCCCGGUCGCGCUGUGGCUCAGCACGGUGAGCCUGACUCAAACCGCAGCCUGAGAGCACCCGGCCUGGCCUCUGGGGACUUUGGAGUCCCUCCCCGCCACCUUCAGUGAAAUGGAAAUCGGUGCGUGCAGACGGCCCAACUUCUCAUCUGACCUGUCUCUAAAUAAGCAGUAAGCAAACACAAA